GGAUUUGAUGUGGAUGAGAAUUGAGUUGCAAUGCAUGUUGGUAUGCUGUGAAACAGAUGGGUGAUGACUUAUGAUUGUGGUUAUGAUGCUAAGCAGGGUGUAUGAAUGAAUAUUGUGUGAGAAAGCAUGUUCUGUGAGGUAUUGAGCUCCAGAGUUUUCAUUGUUAUAUGCAUUGUUCACAGGAAAGCAUGAAUGAUAUUGCCUUAAUCUUGAUGAUUGAUUGAAUUGCAUGUGAAUGUCAUAUGAUCAAGGCCAUUUUUGAGAACCCUUCUCUAGCCAAAUUUUCACCCAAAAUGCUUGAAAAUAUUAUACCCUUUUUGAACCUUAGCCUUAACAGAAUGUGAACCCUUGUCUUGAAAUUCUGUACCUUGAGUUGGGAUGAGCUUAAUUGUUUGUGAUGAAAAGGUUCAAGUUUAGGGUUGCUUGGGGGAAACUGGAAGGCACUUGAAAAGCAUUGAGCUCAAAAGUUGUGAAAGAAAAAUACAUGAGAAAAAGAAAAGAAAAGAAGAAAAGCAUGAAGAUGGGCUCAAUGCAAAAGAAAAGGGAAAAAGUUGGGAAUAAGUGAAAUUGGUGAGGAAGAGAGUUGCACUUAAAUGUUGAAUGUCAUGGUGGCUCUCUUAACUCAAGGAUUUUGCAUUCCAGAAAAACCAAUUCUUCUUGUUAGCCCAGCUUCAUUACAAGCCUUGGAAAAGUCCUUUUGAUGACAUUUGCAUGUAAGGAUUUUGGUUGUUUUAGAUGAAUGGAAAUUUUGUUUCAUGUGACUUGUGAAUGAUAGAGUGUUGGAGUGUAACCCUAAACACUUGAGUGAUUGAGUGAAACACUAGCCUGGUGAGCAUUGCUAAAUUUCAUGAUUGCAUCUUUGAUUAGUGGAUUGACCAUUCAUAAGGUGUACCAUUUGUUGAGUAACUUGUG
rnacentral:lncRNA from 1 species